rnacentral:rRNA from 1 species
CCCUUAGAUGUUCUGGGCUGCACACGUGCUACACUGGCAGGUUCAGCGAGCUUCAUGCCCUGAUCUGAAAGGAAUGGGAAAUCUUUUCAAAACCUGCCGUGCUUGGGAUAGAUGUUUGCAAUUAUUCAUCUUCAACGAGGAUUGCCUUGUAAGCGCACGUCAUCAGCGUGCAUUGAAUACGACCCUGUAUUCUGUACACACCGCCCGUCGCUCCUACCGAUUGAAGUUUUCGGUGAGUUGACAGGAGGAUUUUUUUGAAACUGGUUCGCCAGUGGAUUUUAGAUCCAAAUGCCAACGAAUCGAUGGCUUUAGAGGAAGGAGAAGCCGUAACA